rnacentral:rRNA from 1 species
GACGAACCGUGCAAACGUUGUUCGGAAUCACUGGGCUUAAAGGGCGCGUAGGCGGCCAAUCAAGUCGGGGGUGAAAUCCUGCAGCUCAACUGUAGAAGUGCCUUCGAUACUGAUCGGCUCGAGGGAGGUAGGGGUGUGUGGAACUUCUGGUGGAGCGGUGAAAUGCGUUGAUAUCAGAAGGAACGCCGGUGGCGAAAGCGACGCACUGGACCUCAUCUGACGCUGAGGCACGAAGGCCAGGGGAGCAAACGGG